GAACUUAAGCAUAUCAAUAAGCGGAGGAAAAGAAACUAACAAGGAUUCCCUUAGUAACGGCGAGUGAAGAGGGAAAAGCCCAAAUUUGUAAUUGAAUCCUUUCAGGGUUUGAGUUGUAAUUUUGAGAACUGUUUUCAGUACUGGACCAUAUAUAAGUCUGUUGAAAAGCAGCAUCAUUGAGGGUGAUAAUCCCGUUUAUGAUAUGGAUGCCCAUGUGCACUAUGAUACAGUUUCUAAGAGUCGAGUUGUUUGGGAAUGCAGCUCAAAGUGGGUGGUAAAUUCCAUCUAAGGCUAAAUAUAGGUGAGAGACCGAUAGCAAACAAGUACCGUGAGGGAAAGAUGAAAAGAACUUUGGAAAGAGAGUUAACAGUGCGUGAAAUUGUUAAAAGGGAAACACUUAAAGUUAGACUUGUUGUUGUUAGUUCAACUCUUUUUAAAGGGUUUAUUCUAAUGAUUAACAGACCAACAUCAAUUUUUGAGUGUUGGAGAAGGGUUUAAGGAAAUGUAGCAGUCAGUUUUCUGGCUGUGUUAUAGACCUGAACUUUGAUACAAUGCUUAAGAUUGAGGAAAGCAGCCAACCUUUUAUAAAUGGGGGUGAGAUAAAUUAUUUUAUCUUUUUGGCUGAGGAUGUUGGUGUAAUAACUUUAAAUGACCCGUCUUGCAACGCGGACCAAGGAGUCUAACAUGCUUGCGAGUAUUUGGGUGAUUUUGAAACCCUUAUGCAGAAUGAAAGUAAAUGUAAAUGGGAUCUCUUUUUUUUUUUUUUUAAGAGAGGGAGCACCAUUGACCAGUCUUGAUUAUUUAUAUGAGGGUACUGAGUAAGAGCAAGUAUGUUGGGACCCGAAAGAUGGUGAACUAUGCCUGAAUAGGGUGAAGCCAGAGGAAACUCUGGUGGAAGCUCGUAGCGGUUCUGACGUGCAAAUCGAUCGUCAAAUUUGGGUAUAGGGGCGAAAGACUAAUCGAACCAU
rnacentral:rRNA from 1 species